GAAUGCCGCACAUAUACACACACACGCACAUAUAUACAUAUGGGCAUACACAUCCAUAUACGCGUUCACAUAUAUAUAUAUAUAUAUAUACAUAUACGUGCGAGCGGGGGCUUGGCGUCCGCUCCGCCGACACCAGACCACAAGAGAUCUUUAUAGAUCGACACAACUGCUUCUCCUCCCACACCACUGCCACCCCCGCACAACCUCUGCCUCACCCCUCCCCUUCUUGAUUGUUUCUUGCAUGAACCUACACAGUGUGGGCUCCGCUCAUCAGAGACCUCCUUCCUACUCGAAGUAUCGGAUCCGUUCAAGUGUGUGUCUGUGUGCGAGAGAGCGGGUGUAUUCUUUUCGCACGUCGCACACCCGUAGAGUGGGAUAGACGCAGAAUCGAAAGAUAAGCCUGCCAUGCAGGAAGUUCGCAAUGCUCUCGUCGCCGUCAGUGAAGGCUCUGGAAGUGGCCGCGGAAGCAGCUCGCAGCCCAGCUCCUACUCGAUUCAGGCCUCGCUGGCCGCUCCGCUUCAGCGUGCCGGACACGCGCCUCGCACCUCCUUCACCUACACCUCGCGACCGUUGUCGAAGGGCGAAAGCACAGGCGGAGCGGCGACGAAUCCCUCGGUCAGUGCCAUUGCCCCCCAUCACCCCACUGCCGCGCUCCCGGCAGUGGGCCCCGCUAAGCUAGUCGAGUCCACCUCUGCUUCUGCCACGGUGGCGGGGUCAGCGAGCGUGUUGGAUGUAUCGGUAACGCAGGAAGCCGGUGUCGUGCGGCAAUCCGCCACGAAUCUCCAUAACGAAGGCCACGGCGCGCCAUUACCCCUCCCUCCCGCCUCGCUGUCCCCGCCACCGCUCCUGCCAUCAUCGUCGCCAUCCCCGUCGUCGGCAACCCCCCUUGCCUGCUGCGCCGCGCUGUCACGGAUGGACGAGUCACAAAUACGCGCUGCCACGUACCCGGCGGGCGCCGCGCUGAUACUGCAGGCUGGCGCCGGCAGCGGAAAGACCCAGACGAUGGCGGCACGCAUCGCCUACCUCCUCCAGAGCGGUGUGCCGGGACACUCCAUCCUCGGCAUCUGCUUCACGCGUCAAGCAGCGGAGACGCUGCGGGAGCGGGUGCGGUCUACCCUUCCUCCCACGCUCACCCGCGAGGCGCACGCCUUGAAGCUCAAGACGUUUCACGCCUUCGGGCUCGAGUGCUUGCGGCGCUUUGGUGCCCUCCAGUCCGACACGCACGUCCUCGAUGCGCGGCAGCAGUACGAACUUGCCCGCCGUGUUGUCGACACGUACGCGCAACGUGAAAAGAGCAGCGAGGCCGUGACGGACCUGGUCGACUACGUGAAUCGGGUAAAGACGAUGAAGGUGCCGCCGAUUCCUCAGUCGGACCCUGCCCUGCAGGAUGCAUACCUCUUCCCCUACUACCAAAAGGCUCUGCAUGAGGAGCGCAACGCCGUGGACUUUGGAGACUUGCAGCAGAUGUUUUACGACCUGAUCCGACCCGUCCCCGUCACCGCAUUCGCAGCCUCGCAAGGGUGCGGCGGGGGGCUGGACGAGCAGCAGCCCUCACAGGGCGAACACCAACCCCAGCAACAGCAGCAACAGGGAAAGAUGGUCCCAUCCGAUGUGUGCACCGCGCUGCGUGCCGAGUACACACACUUCGUCGUCGACGAGUUCCAGGACUUCAACGAGAUUCAGGUGGAGCUGCUGGCGCUGCUGGCCGGCGACGCGUGUCGCGUGACCUGCGUGGGAGACCCCAAUCAGUGCAUCUACACGUGGCGCGGCGCCAUGCCAAACGUCUUCGGGGUGUGGAAGAAGCGCUUUCCUCAGACAGCAAUGCUGACGCUGGCGAUGAACUACCGCAGCGACGGGCCCAUUGUGGAAGCGGCCAAUCGCGUGGUGAAGGCAACGCAGAUGGCACACCACCAUCGCGAGGAGCGCGCCGUGACGCUCGUGCAGUGUGCCAGCGAGGAUGAUGAGCUGCAGGCGGUGCCACUGGUGAUCAACCACGUGCUACGCCGUCGAGAUGCCCACCUCGGCUACGGUGACAUCGCCAUUCUCUGUCGCUCCCGUCGGCGGGUGCAACUCUACUGCGAUGUGCUGCAGUCGCAGCGCAUUCCAGUGCGGCAGCUGAAGGGGAUGUCGGUUGACCAUCUCGCAAGCAUGCGCUCGCUGCUUGCGUUUCUGCGACUGUGUGUGUCACCGCAUGGCCCGGAAGGUGACGCAAAUGUGCGCACAGUCCUGAAUACCGCCCCGCUGCAUCGGCUAUCGGCCGGGGCGGCCAAGAAAUUCUUCCUGUCGCUUGACUCAGUCUGUCAGGCGCGGCGCGCGAUGGAAGCGGCGCGGAUACGGUCGUGGCGCCACACCAUCCACGUGGAUAACGGCAGCGAGGUUGGCGCAGAUAACGGAGGCGCGCAGGGGUCGCGAAGUGAGGGCUUACAGCCCGGCGCUGCGUGUACCUCGGUCAUCAGCGGUGGUUGCCCCGCCGUCGCCACGCCUGGAGUCCACCCCGAGUCGUACUCCUUCUUUGCUGUUUUGCAGGAGCUCGUGUACCACAACUUUUCCCAUGAGCUCUUCCCCAAGCUGGAGGUGUCCAAAAAGAACCAGAAGAACAUCCGCAGCGUGGUGCGCAUCGUGGUGCAUGCCAGGGAGCUGCUUGCGCAGCCGUCUUGCGACGUCGAGCAAGUCCUUCGAUACGUCCUGCGCGAAGGUGGAUACGAGGGCGAAAGCAUGGCCGCGGUAGCAGCUCGCACGUCCACCCCCUCAGCAGCCACGAGGGGGACGAAGCGAGCGCGUAACUCCGCCGCCGGUUGGGGUAGUGACCGCUGUGCAGACGAGGCGUCCGGGCGAAGCAGCGCUUCGGCGUACCAGCCUCGCGUUGGCGCCCUUCUCAUGGAGCAAUGCGCCUCGCAGCACAAUCAACGGCAGCAGCGCUAUACCUCCUCCUCCGCCGCCGCCUCCUGCAGCAGCGCCGGUGGAGGCGGCGGUAGGUGGGAUCGGUGGCGCCAUGGCAGCCGGCGGUCAGGUGCCGCAUCCGGCAGUGACGGCGUCGUCGAUGAGGACGUUUUGCCCCCCGAGGAGGAGGCGGCGGUGUGGCAGGAGCAGCGCAUGAACCUGUCCGAGUUGGUGCUGCACACGUACCACUCCGUGCGGGAGGCGCUGGAGCGUGAGGUGGCGCAUGAGCUAGAGAAGGAAGGCGGCGGUGGUGAGGGUAGAGGGGAGGAGGCGUCGUCGCGGUCUCGCCCGUCCCAGGCUAGCGGCAACCACAGCAACAGUCGAACGCAACUGUUUUCCAAGGCGACUGCUGCCGACGACUCGGUCAGCAACUUCAGUGCCGGGAGCACCACCACGACUAUGACGGUCAUGCAGGCUCUGCGCCCACCCGCCGUGGUGCUGCAUCGCGUGCUGGACGAGUUUGUGUCGCUCGUGUCCUCGGACGACUACGGCCCCAUGCGGGAGAUCGGGAACGCGGACGAUGCUGCAGGAGCAGCCGCGGGGGCGGGCACCGCUGGUAACAGCGGCCGCCUCCCUACCAGUACCUCGCCACACUGGAUCGGGCAGGUCACUGUCGGCACUGUGCACCGCGCGAAGGGCAUGGAGUGGCCGGCGGUGCUGCUGCCCGGGUGCUGGGUCGGCGAGUACCCGGUGCGGCCACGCGAAGAAGAAAAACGCGUCUUUUACGUGGGCAUGAGUCGAGCCAUGAAGCACCUUGUGUGCUUCACCGCAGCAACGCGCGAGUGCAGGUCUGGCAGCGGUCAGGCGGCAACCACGGCAAGCGUGAUCGACCUGCCCGCGCAGCACACACAAAGCGGAACGCUGGAGCCGACGCCGUACCUGGCUGCCCUCGGCGACAAGCUGGAGCGGGUCAACUACGCCGACCUCAAGACAGCGUAUCUGAAGGAGCAAGGGUGCCUGUAAUAUUCGCCAAGAGCCGGGCGGAAGGAGGGAAAAGGGGGGAGGGGUAACGCGUGGGGACCGGACUGCAGCGAGAGGGACCCAACGAGCAAAACAAUAACAUUUUUCAGGUGGAGGAGAGCGAGUGGCCGGCGGCGCACACGCUCAGCCCCCUCCGGCCGCGUCGCUGCAGGCCCCACACCCCUCUCAUCCCUUCUCCGUCUGUUGCGGGAGCUACUGGAUACACUUUAGGCGUUCGGUGCGCAUUGUCUUUUUGUUUUUCACUCGUCAUCUACGUUGCAAGCAACGCGAGUUAGUCCUGACGAGGUGCUCGAGCUGGUCGUCGUCCAUCAUCCUUGCCGCCAUCAUCACUUUUUCGGCUGACAAUGUGCCGCUCCCAGCGUGUCUCUGUGUGUGUGUGUGUGUGUGUGUGUGUGUGUGUGUGUGCCUGUGUGGCCUCUUCACGUCGUCACCGCCUCCGCAAAAAAAAAAGAAAAAAACUCUCGCGACUUCAUCGCCAGUGCGCACUUUCCCCUACACCUCUCCCCCCGCUCCUCUGUAGGGCCACUCGCACCACCCAGCAACAGAGCAUCAGGGUGCGCUCGUAUUAUUCGUUACGGUCGUCAUCUUUUACAUUCCGGCGUUCGCGUGGAUUGUCUCUCUGUUUGCAAAUAAGUUAACGCGACGACACCCAUCCUCUCCACCGAUCUCGCACCACCGCGCGCGCACCCACGCACACGCACAG
rnacentral:misc_RNA from 1 species